CGCUACCACUCCUACCAGUAUUCUAUAGCUCUGAAGCUGUUGUGAGAUUUUACCUUUUCCAGACCUGGCAACUCAGCAUACGUAAUAUAUUGCAGACGAAACUGUAAAGUCCUCGACUCUAAUCUUAGUCGUGUGACAAUAGAUUUUGAACACAGUUUACAUCUGUUACGUUUCUUGAAAGUCAAUUAUUCAAGUACUCAUAAACUUCUCAUGGUUGGAAGAGGACGAGGGAGAGGAAAUGCGGUUUCCUUCAACAUUGAGCAAUUGGGAUUGGUAGAGGUGAAGCAGGUCCAGUUUCUGUUACUCAACCUCCUCCACUAUUCCCCUCUCUAAAAACAGGACUCUUCCAUUAAUUAAAGAUGUGGAGUAUGAGUAUAUACUGGUUACCCAAAAAGAUUUGAACACAAGAAUGAGGAGCUCACCGUUUCACUUGAAUACAACAAAUGAGAUCAAAGAAAUUCAGCAAUACUCCAAAAAAUGGAAAAGAAGAUGAAGACGAUCAAGAUAAAUCAGAUGAUGAGAAAGUGGAAAUUGAAGAUGAUGUUGAGGAAGAAAUAGAUGAAGAAAUGGAUGAAGGAACA
rnacentral:lncRNA from 1 species